GAUUGAUCUCAAAGGUUUGUGCUUUGUUCCUUUUCAACUUACAGUACACAAGAAUACACACACAACAUGAUGACAAAUAUGACAAGGAGAUGCAGGUGAAGCUCAGUCAUUUUAUUACUGAUUUAUGGAAAAUAUAUCUUUACAUUUUUUUUUAGAUGCCCCCAGAAAUUAACAGUCCAUUACCAAUUAUUUCCAAACAUCUGAAUCAUACAUUACCAAUAAGAAAACACCUCAGACAGAGCACGUUUAAAGAGAGGGUAUUAC